rnacentral:tRNA from 1 species
UUCCAGGUGUCUCAGACGGUAAAGAAUCUGCCUGCAAUGCAGGAAACCUGGGUUCAAUCCCUGGGCCGGAAA